ensembl:lncRNA
CCCCUGACUCAGCAAAUCCGACAACAACCUCAUGUCCUCUAGGUGGUCCAGCAAUAAAACACCAGCUCCCACUUGAAAACACUUCAUGCUUAAGUGGUCUCUGCUCCUUUUCUGGGUCCCUCUCUAGUGGAAAUCUUCUCCUGUAAGGGAUAGAAAACAAACAACCUUUCUCUGCUACACCUUACUAACUUACUGUGUUCAUCUAAGGUUCCUGUCUUUAUUCAAAGUUGGUUCACAAUAUCAUAUCAGGCAAAAUCACAAACCCUACUGCCACGUCUACUUUGUUAAGCUCUUCAGCUAGACUCUGUACCGGUUUGCCAAUCUGUGUGUACAUGUCUCUACACUUUUAAUGUCUAAAUGCACAUCUGGAUGUAUGUGCACUUGUAUGUCUAUCUGCAUCUAUGAGUCAGUGGUUUUUCAGAAAAAAAAGCGUUAAUGUGAGAAUGUUUCCUGACUAUUAACUCCUGAUAUUGGCGGGACUUUCAGGGUUGGCCAACCUCUUAAGUUUGGCCUUUUACACUUUUACUAAAGAAAUUUUAACAGAGCCCAAAGAGAUUUUUAUUUUGCUCCUGUGCUUGACAGGUUAAGCGAAGUUAUUUUUUGUUUUGUUUUGAAAUUUUUCCCUUCUGUGUGUGUGUGUGUACAUAAGUAAGAAUAUAAUAAUCAACCUAAGAUCCCUGGUUUGCAAAUGAUUUUCUGCCCCGCUGCAGGGCAACAUCCUACAUCGCUUUGUGGUGAGUCUAUGUUGGCUAGUUUAAUACAGAUAUGUAACAGUUGCUUGAUUGCAUGGCCCACUCAGAGUUGCACAGUUUUAAUGUAUGUGGAGAGUGUUUUCACAGUUUAAACAUAGGUUACUCACAUUUCUAGCCUGAUUAUUUCCCAAUAAAAGUGAAAUCAAACAUUGCAUUUGAUUUCACUUAUGUAUUAUCCUGUUCUGGGCUCUAUCCAUUAUAUUAACUUUAUUCAAUCUCAAUACUCUUUAUAUGUGUGUGAGCAACGCUUUUAGCUUUAUUGAACACCACCCCAAUAAAAUACACACCAUCCCCAUGUCAGCCUGACUCUCCGCUAAAAAGCACACUUCAAAGUUUUCUAUCUGGUUUUACGCCUCUUUUGGCCUCAAGCAUAUACAUAACAUGCAAAGGUUACUGUUAAUGCCCGUUAGACAAGUUUCCAUUAUCUACAACAUUUUGUUUCACCCGGCUCACCCUUACACAUUUCCUGUUCACUUAUUGCAUAUUUAUCUUUAACACCAUUUACCUCAGUAGUUGCUAAGCAGAAACAAA